CGGGAUUGUUGGGGUGGGUGCUGUCCUCAGGUUCCAAGGGGCGUAGGCUCGCGAGCCUUUCCGGCAAGCGGUGAUGAGAUGAGAGCGGGAUUCAGUCCCGGGCGCGAUGGCGCGCCUGCAGUCCAGCCCCGGGGAGGCCGAGGCGGGCGGAUCUGAAGCUGAGGCCAGCCUGGUCUGCAUAGCGAGUUUCAGGCCAGUCAACACUGCCUGAAGACCUUUGAUGGAGCCAUGGUGCAGAAACAUUGCCAAAGGGAAGUCUUGGGGAAGGAACCAGGUGGUGGUGGCACUUGGGAGGCAG